rnacentral:rRNA from 1 species
GACGAACGCUGGCGGCGUGCCUAAUACAUGCAAGUCGAGCGGACGAUUCGAAAGCUUGCUUUUGAAUCGUUAGCGGCGGACGGGUGAGUAACACGUGGGCAACCUGCCCUGUAGGCGGGGAUAACACCGAGAAAUCGGUGCUAAUACCGGAUAACACGAAAUGUCGCAUGACGUUUCGUUGAAAGGCGGCGCAAGCUGCCGCUACAGGAUGGGCCCGCGGCGCAUUAGCUAGUUGGUGAGGUAACGGCUCACCAAGGCGACGAUGCGUAGCCGACCUGAGAGGGUGAUCGGCCACACUGGGACUGAGACACGGCCCAGACUCCUACGGGAGGCAGCAGUAGGGAAUCUUCCGCAAUGGACGAAAGUCUGACGGAGCAACGCCGCGUGAGCGAAGAAGGCCUUCGGGUCGUAAAGCUCUGUUGUUAGGGAAGAACAAGUAACGUAGUAACUGACGUUACUAUGACGGUACCUAACGAGAAAGCCACGGCUAACUACGUG